rnacentral:lncRNA from 1 species
AAAACUGUCAUAAUCCAACUACAUAAUUCUGAACUUAAACUUACAGCGCAAACACCUAAGGCGGACUACAAGAGGAAGAUACGACACACACUG